rnacentral:rRNA from 1 species
GGGUCAGCAGGUUGGUCGUGCCUUCGGUAUGCACUGGCCUUGCUGAUUCCUCCCUCUUGAUGAGCCGUAAUGUCAUUAAUUUGGUGUUGCGGGGAAUCAGGACUGUUACUUUGAAAAAAUUAGAGUGUUCAAAGCAGGCAUAUGCUCGAAUACAUUAGCAUGGAAUAAUAGAAUAGGACG